UACGUAGGUGGCAAGCGUUUGUCCGGAAUUAUUGGGCGUAAAGCGCGCGCAGGCGGUCCUUUAAGUCUGAUGUGAAAGCCCACGGCUCAACCGUGGAGGGUCAUUGGAAACUGGGGGACUUGAGUGCAGAAGAGGAAAGCGGAAUUCCACGUGUAGCGGUGAAAUGCGUAGAGAUGUGGAGGAACACCAGUGGCGAAGGCGGCUUUCUGGUCUGUAACUGACGCUGAGGCGCGAAAAGCGUGGGGAGCGAACAGG
rnacentral:rRNA from 1 species